rnacentral:rRNA from 1 species
UGAGCUUGAUCCCUGGCUCAGGACGAACGCUGGCGGCGUGCCUAAUACAUGCAAGUCGAGCGAAUCAAUAGGAGCUUGCUCCUGUUGGUUAGCGGCGGACGGGUGAGUAACACGUGGGCAACCUGCCUGUAAGACUGGGAUAACACCGGGAAACCGGUGCUAAUACCGGAUAAUCCUUUUCCUCUCAUGAGGAAAAGCUGAAAGUCGGUUUCGGCUGACACUUACAGAUGGGCCCGCGGCGCAUUAGCUAGUUGGUGAGGUAACGGCUCACCAAGGCGACGAUGCGUAGCCGACCUGAGAGGGUGAUCGGCCACACUGGGACUGAGACACGGCCCAGACUCCUACGGGAGGCAGCAGUAGGGAAUCUUCCACAAUGGACGAAAGUCUGAUGGAGCAACGCCGCGUGAGCGAUGAAGGCCUUCGGGUCGUAAAGCUCUGUUGUUAGGGAAGAACAAGUACCGGAGUAACUGCCGGUACCUUGACGGUACCUAACCAGAAAGCCACGGC